CCCAAGCUAGCUCAGCCUGGUAGAGCUCCCGGCUGUAGUAACCGGGUUGUCGAUGGUUCAACUCCGUCGCUUGGGA
rnacentral:tRNA from 1 species